rnacentral:rRNA from 1 species
AUUGAACGCUGGCGGCAGGCCUAACACAUGCAAGUCGAGCGAGCGGCGGACGGGUGAGUAAUGGCUGGGAAACUGCCUGAUGGAGGGGGAUAACUACUGGAAACGGUAGCUAAUACCGCAUACCAUCAGAUGUGCCCAGAUGGGAUUAGCUAGGAGCUGGGGUAAUGUCUCACCUAGGCGACGAGCACUAGCUGGUCUGAGAGGGUGACCAGCCAAACUGGAACUGAGACACGGCCCAGACUCCGACGGGAGGCAGCAGGGGGGAAUAUUGGGCAAUGGGCGCAAGCCUGAUGCAGCCAUGCCGCGUGUGGGAAGAAGGCCUUCGGGUUGUAAAGCACUUUCAGCGGGGAGGCGUUACCCGCAGAAGAAGCACCGGCUAACUCCGUGCCAGCAGCCGCGGUAAUAC